AGUGAACGCUGGCGGUAGGCCUAACACAUGCCAGUCGAACGACAGCACAGUAAGAGCUUGCUCUUACGGGUGGCGAGUGGCGGACGGGUGAGGAAUACAUCGGAAUCUACUUUUUCGUGGGGGAUAACGUAGGGAAACUUACGCUAAUACCGCAUACGACCUACGGGUGAAAGCAGGGGAUCUUCGGACCUUGCGCGAUUGAAUGAGCCGAUGUCGGAUUAGCUAGUUGGCGGGGUAAAGGCCCACCAAGGCGACGAUCCGUAGCUGGUCUGAGAGGAGGAUCAGCCACACUGGAGCUGAGACACGGUCCAGACUCCUACGGGAGGCAGCAGUGGGGAAUAUUGGACAAUGGGCGCAAGCCUGAUCCAGCCAUACCGCGUGGGUGAAGAAGGCCUUCGGGUUGUAAAGCCCUUUUGUUGGGAAAGAAAAGCAGCAGGUUAAUACCCCGCUGUUCUGACGGUACCCAAAGAAUAAGCACCGGCUAACUUCGUG
rnacentral:rRNA from 1 species